rnacentral:snRNA from 2 species
ACAGGCCUUUUGGCUAAGAUCAAGUGUAGUAUCUGUUUUUAUCAGUUUAAUAUCUGAGCCAUUAGUCCGCAUGGUAUUAAAUUAAUUUUUUUAAGGGGAGAGCCCAUAACAGUAGUUUGCUGUUGGGGUUCUCGAGCGUCUCCCAAAGCGUUGCACUAUUGCUCGGGCCCGGCGCAUCCAAA